GAGAUAGCUUAGUUGGUAGAACAUGAGACUCUUAAUCUCAGGGUCCUGAGUUCAAGCCCCACGUUGGAGAA